CGGCCGUACCAUGCUGACUGAAUAUACCGGUUCUCGUUAGAUCACCGAAGUUAAGCAUCAUUGGGCGCGGUCAGUACUUGGGUGGGUGACCACCUGGGAACACUGCGUGCCGUU